rnacentral:rRNA from 1 species
GAUGAACGCUGGCGGCGUGCCUAAUACAUGCAAGUCGAACGCAUAGCGAAAGGUGCUUGCACCUUUCAAGUGAGUGGCGAACGGGUGAGUAACACGUGGACAACCUGCCUCAAGGCUGGGGAUAACAUUUGGAAACAGAUGCUAAUACCGAAUAAAACUUAGUGUCGCAUGACACAAAGUUAAAAGGCGCUUCGGCGUCACCUAGAGAUGGAUCCGCGGUGCAUUAGUUAGUUGGUGGGGUAAAGGCCUACCAAGACAAUGAUGCAUAGCCGAGUUGAGAGACUGAUCGGCCACAUUGGGACUGAGACACGGCCCAAACUCCUACGGGAGGCUGCAGUAGGGAAUCUUCCACAAUGGGCGAAGGCCUGAUGGAGCAACGCCGCGUGUGUGAUGAAGGCUUUCGGGUCGUAAAGCACUGUUGUAUGGGAAGAACAGCUAGAAUAGGAAAUGAUUUUAGUUUGACGGUACCAUACCAGAAAGGGACGGCUAAAUACGUG